AUGAUUGCGAAUCGUUGCCUUCUGUGCUGGCCAGCCACUGGCAAGUGCACGUUGGUGACUUUCAUCCAAUACCCUGUGAACCUUUGGCCUCUUGCUAGCUUUGGCCGGCAGAGGAAUUUUACACACACUCGCAUGUAAUGAAAUAUACUGUCGUGCGCAAGCACUAAUGUA
rnacentral:misc_RNA from 1 species